ACCCGGAGCACCGGGCCAUGAAAAAAGGAACUCGCUCAAUCUCAACACAAGCAACACUACACCGAGCAGCUGUGUUUUUGUCAGAGCUGAGGAGUCGUCCAAACGUCCGCAAGAGUUAAAAGAAAGAGUCCACAAUGAAGACCCAAACUUGUUUCGCCUUCUCCAUACAACAAUUUGCUCUUUGUUUUCUGGUUGGUGCCAUUUACAUAGUGAAUGGUGACUACUGUGAGAUAAAUGUCUGCACUAAUGGGGGGAGCUGUGUGACUGGCCCCAGAUCCUCCUUCAUCUGUAUCUGCCCCGAUGGCUAUACUGGGGACACGUGCAAUGACACCGAGACUGGGCCCUGCAACCCAAACCCCUGCAAGAGGAUGGCUU